UCCUCAGCAGGAAGUUAGGCUACAGCCCCCGACUAAAAACAAAAAGCUGCCGACGAGUAUCACAGAAACGCAGAGAUGUCUGAAGUGCCUAGAAAGCAAUCUUUAUCUCCAUCCCGAAAAACCGCUCCGACAAAAAACCACGUUCAACGGACCAGAAUUUCUGUCCAAUCAUCCCCAGUGAUGGGCCAGCACCCUGCCUUUUCUUCUGCAUCUGGCCUCAUCAACCAUCAACAACCACAUUACAGUAACACGUUGGCGUAUUAUCCCUGCACAGAACAGAUAUUGUCUAUACUGUGAUCUUUUAUACAUCCUGCUCAGAAGGAGUUUCGUCAACACUUUUGUGCAUAGUUUUUUUUCAUUGAUUUAUUUUUUGAAUAUGUGUAUCUAUGUAUAUUUAUCUUUUUGGCUGUUGCAGUAUUUUACCUUUUUAUUGUUAUUUCCUGUUAAUAUGUUUAUUGGAUACUGCACCAAACACCAAGCCAAAUAUUUUGUAAGUAAAAACCUACCUGGCAAUUAACUUUAUUUACGUGUUUCUGCUUUUGUGAUGAUGUCAUCAUCCCUUCCUCAUGCUGCUAUAUCCUGACACCCUUGUGUCAUGCAGUAUUCCCUUGCCUUCAUAUUUUUAUAGGUAAAUAAAAACACACUGUUUGUA